AUAGGUACAGUUUUUGAGGACUGCAGGGGAAAUAUACAGUAACUCUGCUGUGUAAACUGCGACAGGUUGAGGGCUGCUUCAUCAGUGAGACAACUCUUGGUACAAUGUUUAAGACAUUGUUUGAAACUAAACAAACUGUCCAGAGAGAUGCUUGAAUUUUAUUUACUACAGCAGCAUGUGAUUUCAUGACCUUUAAGCAAAGUUUCAGCACCUGUGAUUCUAUGAUUCUAAAGCCUACUGCUCACUAAAUCUGCCAAGGGAUAUUUAAGUGCUGUAGGUAGGGAAAUGCAUUGAUCUGGGUGGGGAAGUGCAACCAUUUCUGGGUAGAAUCAGACUCAGCCCUCCCUGAAGGCUGUGUUAGCAGUUUGGGAGUUCUUCUGGACUCAGCUCUGCUUGUGGAAGCAUGAGUGGUGAUGGCAGCCAGGAGUGUGUUACCAGCUCAGGUUGGUACACUAGUUGUGACCCUGCAUAAGCAAAAGGCAGGUACUAGUGACAUCCAUGAGACAUAAGCAGAGCUGCUUUUGGAGAAAACUUGGAAUCUUGCUUGUUAGGGCUGGAUGAUCAGAGCUUAUUACACUGUUUCUGUACCAGUUUAACUGGGCCCAAUUUGAACGGCUGCUUUUAGUCUUUAAAACACUGAACUGUUUGGGAGGCACGGUGUGUGUUCAUUGCCUCCCAAAUGCCAAGCGCUGGGCUAGCAAAGCUGCUUCUAUGGGAAUUUGGCUGUGUAGUCCCCACAGAAUCAAAGGCAAGUUAGGAAGUGGCCAGUAGGCACCUGAAAAGUGGGAGGGGACUGUUUCUUCUGAUUUGGGGAGCUAACAUUUGGCCCCUUCAAUAAGACUGGAAUAUGCAGAGCAUAGGGAUGCGGGUGCCCCUUGCACUGCACUUCUCCAGCUGGCUUUGGGGCACUUGAGGGGCACUGUGCAAGGGACUUUGACAGGUGGGCAGAACAACCCACUCGUCUAUCACUUGUUGGUGUAAUGUCAGAGUUGGCCCAUGGGGUGGAAACAAAUAAGGACCUGGCCCACUGGGCCAAAAAGGUCCCCCCCCCUAAA